AUUGAACGCUGGCGGAAUGCUUUACACAUGCAAGUCGAACGGCAGCACGGGGCAACCUGGUGGCGAGUGGCGAACGGGUGAGUAAUACAUCGGAACGUGCCCAAUCGUGGGGGAUAACGUAGCGAAAGUUACGCUAAUACCGCAUACGAUCUACGGAUGAAAGCGGGGGAUCGCAAGACCUCGCGCGAAUGGAGCGGCCGAUGUCAGAUUAGGUAGUUGGUGGGGUAAAGGCUCACCAAGCCAACGAUCUGUAGCUGGUCUGAGAGGACGAUCAGCCACACUGGAACUGAGACACGGUCCAGACUCCUACGGGAGGCAGCAGUGGGGAAUUUUGCGCAAUGGGCGAAAGCCUGACGCAGCGACGCCGCGUGUGCGAUGAAGGCCUUUGGGUCGUAAAGCACUGUCGACAGGGACGAAAGCUCGCUGGCUAAUAUCCGGCGAGGUUGACGGUACCUGUAAAGGAAGCACCGGCUAACUCUGUG
rnacentral:rRNA from 1 species